AUGCUUGGGUUUAGCCUCAGAGAAAAGAGACACUUCUUUCAUUUUGCCGUCACAAUCGCGCAGGCAGGAGGUCUCUCGGCGUCUGCCCUUUUCCAGACGAUGAAGCUGGAAGCUCAAGAGCUUCACUGCACCUCUGUCGUUUUGUGUGAUACAGACUUUAUUGGUUCUGCUUCCUGCCCUGGCUAUCUCAUUUCUGUUGAGACCCGGAUACAUUGCCCCAGCUCCUCUCUGCAUGCUAAACACUCUCAUUCGGGGAGUUCAGUGGGCCUUUGACGCUGCGUCACAAACGACGCUCUGGUUGGUGUGACUCUGACGCUGCGUCACAGAUGACGCUAGGAUUGGUCCCUGCUGAGAGGCUCUUUCCUGGCCCUGUGGACUUGAUGUGAUCCUCCAUUCUGUGUUCCUGUUGUUUUCCCUAUUUGCUCAGUGACGGCAUAAUAAACUUUUCUGUUACCUGCAAAUGAAUCCUGUAUUUUCCCUGACACAGAUGUCUGGUUUUGCAGCAUAACAUUUUUUUUUUAAUUGUAUAGUAAUAUUUUUAAACCAUAUAUGAAACUAUAUAUACACAUUCUAAUGAUUUGCUGUUCAAUAAAUAUUUAUUAUCUUCAGUGUGUAUGCCAUGAUGGUUUUGAAUUGCUUGAAUCACUUUGAAAAAGGAAGGUACCAUUAAGGGCAACAUGUGCAGAACAAACGUCUAUGUCAUGACUUCGGUCUGAUCUGCUGUGUUUUGUCUUUCUUAGUGUCUGUGUGCCUUGUCUCUGAGCACAUGGGUUUUGUUUUGACAGCUUCACCAUGUGCCAGCUGUCAAUGUGGCGUUUUCCCCUCCACUCGUUAUCCUUAAUUCUCCCUAUCCCCUGUGUGCCUUGUCUCUGAGCACUAUGGGUUUUGUUUUGGCAGCUCACCAUGUCUUCUGCUGUCAGUGUGACGUCUUCCCCUCCACUCGUUAUCCUUAAUUCUAUGUAUUCUGUUACACCUGUAGCCAUUCUUUCCUCAUUAGCUCUCCCCUAUUUUAGUUUCCUCUUGUGCUCAGUCUUUUGUCAGACUGUUGUUGUAUGCAAUGCUUUGCGUGUGGCCAUCUUGUCAUGUUUGCCUUGUCUUACCGUGUUAUGUCGUUUUAGGCUCCAAGUGCGGUUUUGAUUUUUGUUUUUUGUCUUGAUCUGUUCCUUCUUAUCCUGCUAGACUUUAUUGGUUCUGCUUCCUGCCCUGGCUAUCUCAUUUCUGUUGAGACCCGGAUACAUUGCCCCAGCUCCUCUCUGCAUGCUAAACACUCUCAUUCGGGGAGUUCAGUGGGCCUUUGACGCUGCGUCACAAACGACGCUCUGGUUGGUGUGACUCUGACGCUGCGUCACAGAUGACGCUAGGAUUGGUCCCUGCUGAGAGGCUCUUUCCUGGCCCUGUGGACUUGAUGUGAUCCUCCAUUCUGUGUUCCUGUUGUUUUCCCUAUUUGCUCAGUGACGGCAUAAUAAACUUUUCUGUUACCUGCAAAUGAAUCCUGUAUUUUCCCUGACACAGAUGUCUGGUUUUGCAGCAUAACAUUUUUUUUUUAAUUGUAUAGUAAUAUUUUUAAACCAUAUAUGAAACUAUAUAUACACUAAAAUAUAGUAAAGUAAAGUAAUUAAUUUAACUAACUUAUAUAUAUAUAUAUAUAUAUAUUAUUUAU
rnacentral:lncRNA from 1 species